UUAAGAAAUAGUCUCCACUCAGAAGGGCUUUGUGCUCUGUGAGCUUUAUUACUGCUUCUGGGUGUGUGUUAAUCACUCAGUUGUGUCCAACUCUUUGUGACCCCAUGGACUGUAGCCUGCCAGGCUCCUCUGUCCAUGGAAUUCUCCAGGCCAGAAUACUGGAGUGGGUAGCCAUUCCCUUCUCCAGAGGGUCUUCCCAACCCAGGGAUGGAACCCGGGUCUCUAGUAUUACAGGAAGAUUCUUUACUUUCUGAGCUGCAAGGAAGCCCAUUCUUGCUUCUACUGAGACCUAAAUAUUGGCCCAGAAUUUGCACAGAGAGCACUUCAUGGCUCAUUUAAUAUUUUUUCUGUCUAUCAAUAUUAAGGGAGAAUUGCAGAAUAAAAGAACAUGCCUCCUGAUGGAUUUCGGGUUUGGUCUGUGCCUGCUUACGGCAGGACAGAAAUGGUGGGGAGCUCACACCCCUGGGAGCAGCAGUCAGCCAGGGAUGGAGGGCAUUGGAGGACUAGUAGCUCUGAGGCCAGUUCUUCGUCAUCUCCCAGAGCUCCCCAGGGAGAUGGAGGGCCAGCUGCCCCCACCAACAGCCUGGUCAAACACCCUCGAGAGUGGCUUCCUUCUCCUCUGCAUCUCGUCUCCACCAUCUGACUGACACUUCCUCAGAGUGCCUCCUAAGUAAACCGCCUGCAUGCAAAUCUCACUUCAGUGCCUGCUUCUGGGGAGCUGCAACCUACGGACCUUGGAGUGUGCGGCCAUCGUCAGACUCAAAGCGUUCACGAGCUUCUUUCUCCUGUCCUCGCCAAGAGAACAUCUUUUCUUUCCCAGGAUUUGAAACCAAAGUUGCCUUCUCCUGCCUUAUGCCUCUGUUCCUUGUCCAGCCUUCCCUUUGGCCUCUCUAACUUUUCCCCCUCUUCACCAUUAGUCUUCUUACCCCUCCCCAUUCCAAACUCUGCUUCUUUUCCCUCCAGCACCUCCAAGAACUGCAUUGUGGGAUAUGAUGAACAGACGUUUCUCUGUAUAAAGUCUGACCAUCUGUGGUGGAGAAGAGGUAUGUCCCCAAGUAUUAAAUUUAAUUAAUUAAUAUUAAAUGAACCAGUGAUUUUAUU
ensembl:lncRNA